rnacentral:rRNA from 1 species
CCGGGGCGGGCCCUGAACACAUGCAAGUCGAACGGUAACAGGAAGCAGCUUGCUGCUUCGCUGACGAGUGGCGGACGGGUGAGUAAUGUCUGGGAAACUGCCUGAUGGAGGGGGAUAACUACUGGAAACGGUAGCUAAUACCGCAUAACGUCGCAAGACCAAAGAGGGGGACCUUCGGGCCUCUUGCCAUCGGAUGUGCCCAGAUGGGAUUAGCUUGUAGGUGGGGUAACGGCUCACCUAGGCGACGAUCCCUAGCUGGUCUGAGAGGAUGACCAGCCACACUGGAACUGAGACACG